GAGUAACCGGAAGCUGGAGCAGGAGGUCUGGAGCCACCUGGCCCUCUUGGGCCUGAGACCCUCCCCACUGCAGGGGCUCCAUCACUUCCCCGGUGGUCCUGCCUCCUGGGAUCCUGCCCUGCAGUGUUUCUGCAGGGAUCCUCUCACCUGGAACUUUCAGUGGCGGGUUUCAUGUGAGGUAGAGUUUAACUAAUGUUUAUUGGCUUCUGUGCCUUACUUUUCCUCAUAUGCUUUGCUCAUUUUGUGCGUGUUUUUGUAGAGUCCUUUUUUUUAUAUUGAUUUGAAGGAUUUAUCUUAAAUCUGCAAGUUGAUCCUUUAUUGGCUCAUUUUUGUCAUAGAUACUUGUUCUCUAGUUUGAUCAUUAUUUUCUAUUGGUUUCAUACUAGUAUAUAGUAAUCUGGUUGAUAACAAUAAUGUAUCCAGUAAGUUAUUAAUUGUAACAGUUUUGGCGUUUUCAGGGAUUGUCUAGGCAUGUAAUAGUGUCAUAUACACAUAAUGACAAUUUUUUUGGCUUAAAAAUUAAUCCUAAUUCCUUUUUAUUUCUUGCUGUAUUGUUUCUCCACUACAAUGCUGAUUAAAGAGUAAUAGCAGGCAUCCUCGUCUGGUCCUGCAUUGGGGGAAAGAGCUUCCCAUAAUGCUCUGUUAAUUAUGUUAUUUGUUAUUGGCUAGUAUUAGACUUUAUCAGAUUUCAUCAAAUUAAGGAAGUUGCUGUUUUUUUUUUUUUUUUUUUUUUUGAGAUGGAGUCUCGCUCCUGUCGCCCAGGCUGGAGUGUGCAAUGGCUCGAUCUCAGCUCACUGUAACCUCCGCCUCCCGGGUUCAAGCGAUUCUCCUGCCUCAGCCUCCCGAGUAGCUGGGAUUACAGGCAUGUGCCACAACGCCCAGCUAAUUUUGUAUUUUUAGUAGAGACGGGGUUUCUCCAUGUUGGUCAGGCUGGUCUCGAACUCCCGACCUCAGGUGAUCGGCCCACCUCGGCCUCCUGAAGUGCUGGGAUUACAGGUGUGAGCCACCGCGACUGGCCCGUCCUCUUUUUAAGUUUUACUCGUUUUUUUGUGUAUGUUUGUGGUUCAAUUUUAAAUUUUAUUAAAUGCUUUAAAAAACUUUUCAGCUAAAUGAUCUUACUAUUUUCUCCUGUAUUUUUCUGCUAAUGGGAUGACUUACAUGAUUUAUUUUGAAUGUUAAGGACCUUGCAUUUUGGUGUAUAUUCCAUUUAGUAUUGAUCUACUGUGUUUUCAUAGGUGGCUUCAUUCAUAUAAUAUUUUGCUUAGAAUAUUUGUAGCUCUGUUUAUUUAUUUAUUUAUUUAUUUUGAGAUGCACUCUCACUCUGUUGCCCAGGCUGGAGUGCAGUGGUGUGAUCUUGGCUCACUGCAAGCUCUGCCUGCCAGGUUCAUGCCAUUCUCCUGCCUCAGCCUCCCAAGUAGCUGGGACUACAGGCGCCCACCACCGCGCCAGGGUAAUUUUUUUUUUUUUUUUUUGUAUUUUUAGUAGAGACGAGGUUUCACGUGUUAGCCAGGAUGGUCUCGAUCUCCUGACCUCGUGAUCCGCCCACCUCGGCCAAUGCCCGCGCGGAAGUCUCCGCCCCCACCCUGGGGCACCGUGGUCGCCGCCGCCGGGAACGUCGCCAUGGCAACCGCACCGCAGGCUAGAGGGGUGGAGUAGGGGGCGGGGAAGUGCGAGCGCAAAAGUCCCCGCCCCCGAGCUGGUGGACGGCUGCCACCCAGCGGCCCGCAGGGAUUUGAAACCGUUUGGCAGGGGCGGCGAUGGCGGCGGCAUUGGCGGCAGCGGCCGAGCGGAAAGCUUGCUUGUAGUGGUGCCAGGUUCUCGUUUUUUUCCGAAUUUCCUUCCCCCGCCUCUCCCACCAGGUUCUUGAGUGGAAUUUUGCGCCGGUGGCUGCCGCCCCGCACUUGCGGGCCCGUUCGGGAAGGGGCGUCGCCCUCAGGCCCUGGGCCUGUUCUCCGGGCCUGGGGGGCGCGCGCCCCGGGGGUCCCGGCGCUGCCCGCUGUGGCGUCCCCGGCAGGCAGAGCGCGAUCCAGGCCGGGACGGCUUGGGAAAUUUCUAAGUAUAGUUUGAUCAGCCGGUUUGAUCGGUCUGACGUGGUCCAGGAGUCUGACCCAAGGAUUUGCGACUGGGAGAGGAAAUCUGUGUCCUGGACAAGAUUGGAUUAUGAAAGUGGGAAGUGAAGAAGAAAAAUGGGAGAAGCUGGAUGCAGAAUUUGAUCACUUUGUGGUUGAUAUGAAGCCCUUUGUUCUCAAAUUACUUCAUAGGACAGAAUGGCAGAGGUGUGCUCUUUGGAUUAGAAAGCUGUGCGAACCUUCAGGAACAGGUGCAGGAAUAAUGGGGAGGAAGAAUCGGAACCUGUAUGCAAAAUUGUUAUUGCAUAUGCUUAAACGAGGUGUGUUUGAAGGCCCUUUUACACACCGAUCUGAACUGGGGACACUAAAAAUUCUACCUUCAUACAUGAAUCAGUCCAUCUAUUUUGAUGAACCAAAUCCAGCACGAGCAAAAGGUUCAAGCCCAGAGGGGAUUACCAGCCUGGGUACUGGGUGAGCUGGAGACAAGUGAACACAACUUAAACGAAUCGUGGAAACUCUCUUCUGGAGAAGAUGACACUUUGGUACUGUCGCCAACUGGUCUCCAGACGUAGAGACAAGUUGCCUUUGAAAGAAGAGUUUAUUUCUCACAGUUUCCAAGAGGAGGGAGGCAUGCCACACCAUGCAGGCCACGUGGAGAAGCACAAGGGUUGGUCAGGAGGCAGAAGGAGCAAGGAGAAGCAUGGGCGAGAGCCUUUUUAUAUAGUAGUGGGAUGUUCCCUAUUGGACAGAAAGUGAAACACCAAUGUUGGGGUUUGUAGUUGGAGGGUUUGUAAUAUAAUUUCCAAGUGCCCACAAAAAGACAGGGAUGGUAAGGAUGUGAACAACUUUGGCUGUUAGUUUGGUCCAUGAUUUCAAGAUAUGCCAAAUUAUCAGUUAGAAUAUCAAGAAUGAUUAUUAUAUGCCUGCAUGUGUUUUGGGCUAUUAUGGAUUCCUAGAUGAGAAAUUGCUUUGUUGGUGGGGUUAUUAGUUGGUUCAACAUCUUGUGCAUGGUUAAAAAAAUAUACAUAUAUACACACACAUAUACGUAUAUAUGUUAUUAUGGCAAGGUCUAAUAGGAUGAAGUUAAAAAGUACAUAAAUUAUAGGACGCUUCCAUUUGUGUUUGUGUAUAUGUGUUUUAGAGGCUCUGUGGAUACAUACGUGUUCGUGUGCAGGGAAUCUUUCUGGGUACCACACAUGAAACUGUAAAGGUGGUUAUAGCUUUAGGGAUUGGGACUAUUUGGAGUGUACAUUUAAAAACGUUCUUGUAAAAAUAUGUGUCUAUGGUAUUUCUAAUAAUCACACUCUUCUAUUUUGAUAGAUACUGUCCAGUUGCCUUCCGAAAUAUCUUGUUAAAAUGUUUGUGCAUACACAAUGCAAAUUAAUAAAUUUGUAUAACGAACAUAUAUACAUUUAAACAUAAAAAUAAAAAAUUUUCUAGUAAAUAAAUGUUUGUGGAUUCCACUUGUAUUUCUAAUUUGUGAGAGCAGAGGCCAAGUGAGGCAAGUCUUACCAUUUAUGGAUCUCCUACUGCAUGCUAGGAACUGUUCUGGAAAUCUUUUCCAAGUCAUCUGAUUGAAUCCUCUCUACAGUCCAGUGAGGUUGACAUCAUUGCCCUUUUGUAUUUAUAGACGAGGUAACAGCUUCAGGAAAGUCCAGUGACUUUUCCAGUGAUGGAUCCAAUAUUGGAAUGCAGGGCCUUAUGAUUUCACACCCAUGUUCU